rnacentral:rRNA from 1 species
UAGAGUUUGAUCCUGGCUCAGAACGUACGCUGGCGGCACGCCUAACACAUGCAAGUCGAACGAGGUAGCAAUACUUAGUGGCAGACGGGUGAGUAACAUGUAGGUAUCUGCCCUUUGGCCUGGAAUAACACGAGGAAACUUGUGCUAAUACCGGAUAAGUCUUUACGGAGAAAGCUUUAUGCACCAUUGGAUGAGCCUGCACUUGAUUAGUUUGUUGGUGGGGUAAUGGCCUACCAAGACUGUGAUCAAUAGCUGAUUUGAGAGGAUGAUCAGCCACAUUGGGACUGAGACACGGCCCAAACUCCUACGGGAGGCAGCAGUGGGGAAUCUUGCACAAUGGAGGAAACUCUGAUGCAGCGAUGCCGCGUGAGUGAAGAAGGCCCUUGGGUUGUAAAGCUCUUUCGUCGGGGAAGAAAAUGACUGUACCCGAAUAAGAAGGUCCGGCUAACUUCGUGCCAGCAGCCGCGGUAAUACGAAGGGACCUAGCGUAGUUCGGAAUUACUGGGCUUAAAGAGUUCGUAGGUGGUUGAAAAAGUUAGUGGUGAAAUCCCAGAGCUUAACUCUGGAACUGCCAUUAAAACUUUUUAGCUAGAGUAUGAUAGAGGAAAGCAGAAUUUCUAGUGUAGAGGUGAAAUUCGUAGAUAUUAGAAAGAAUACCAAUUGCGAAGGCAGCUUUCUGGAUCAUUACUGACACUGAGGAACGAAAGCAUGGGUAGCGAAGAGGAUUAGAUACCCUCGUAGUCCAUGCCGUAAACGAUGUGUGUUAGACGUUGGAAAUUUAUUUUCAGUGUCGCAGGGAAACCGAUAAACACACCGCCUGGGGAGUACGACCGCAAGGUUAAAACUCAAAUGAAUUGACGGGGACCCGCACAAGUAGUGGAGCAUGUGGUUUAAUUCGAAGAUACGCGCAGAACCUUACCAACACUUGACAUGUUCGUCGCGACUCUAAGAGAUUAGAGUUUUCGGUUCGGCCGGACGAAACACAGGUGCUGCAUGGCUGUCGUCAGCUCGUGUCGUGAGAUGUUGGGUUAAGUCCCGCAACGAGCGCAACCCUCACUUUUAGUUGCCAUCAUUAAGUUGGGCACUCUGAAAGAACUGCCAGUGAUAAGCUGGAGGAAGGUGGGGAUGACGUCAAGUCCUCAUGGCCCUUACGUGUUGGGCUACACACGUGCUACAAUGGUAUCUACAACAGGAAGCAAGACUGCGAAGUUAAGCAAAUCCCUAAAAGAUACCUCAGUUCGGAUUGCACUCUGCAACUCGAGUGCAUGAAGCUGGAAUUACUAGUAAUCGUGGAUCAGCGUGCCACGGUGAAUGCGUUCCCGGGUCUUGUACACACCGCCCGUCACACCAUGGGAGUUGGUUCUACCUUAAGGCAAGGUUUCAAACCCUUGACCACGGUAUAGUCAGCGACUGGGGUGAAGUCGUAACAAGGUAACCA